rnacentral:sRNA from 1 species
UAACCGCUGGUGUAUUUUGGUACUGUUACAGUUAUGAUCUCUAUGCACUGGAUAGUUGGUAUAGUAAAAACUACAACGUUGUAGGCAUCGCUAAUAUCGGAACAAUGUGUCGAACAGACGGGACAAGUUGUUCUGUAAUAGAAGAUCGUAAAGGCUACUCCACAAUAGAUACGGCAACACACGAACUGGGACAUAGCCUGUCAGCGGAACACGACGGAGUCAACAACUUCUGCUCCUUCUCGCAAAGAUAUAUCAUGGCUGCAUCUAACAGUAAAGAAACCUACGGGACAGAGUAUAACCCAUGGCGAUUCUCUUCCUGCAGCAUCAGCUACUUUACACGUUUUUUGCACAGAACUGUGGA